rnacentral:rRNA from 1 species
GAUGAACGCUAGCGGGAGGCCUAACACAUGCAAGCCGAGCGGUAUUUGUCUUUCGGGACAGAGAGAGCGGCGUACGGGUGCGGAACACGUGUGCAACCUGCCCUUAUCUGGGGGAUAGCCUUUCGAAAGGAAGAUUAAUACCCCAUAAUAUAAUGAAUGGCAUCAUUUAUUAUUGAAAACUCCGGUGGAUAGAGAUGGGCACGCGCAAGAUUAGAUAGUUGGUGAGGUAACGGCUCACCAAGUCGAUGAUCUUUAGGGGGCCUGAGAGGGUGAUCCCCCACACUGGUACUGAGACACGGACCAGACUCCUACGGGAGGCAGCAGUGAGGAAUAUUGGACAAUGGGUUAGCGCCUGAUCCAGCCAUCCCGCGUGAAGGACGACGGCCCUAUGGGUUGUAAACUUCUUUUGUACAGGGAUAAACCUACUCUCGUGAGAGUAGCUGAAGGUACUGUACGAAUAAGCACCGGCUAAUUCCGUGCCAGCAGCCGCCGUAA